GAGAUGUAGCUCAGCGUUAGAGCACUUGCCUAGCAGGCAUGGGGCCCUGGGUUCAAUUCCCAGCUCACA
rnacentral:tRNA from 1 species